rnacentral:lncRNA from 1 species
CACGAGAUCUUUUAAUUGAUAGUCUUUAUCACUUACAUGUUGAUGCGAAUAUGAACCUAAACAAGUAAAUAGUGAGUGCCAUAGGCUAAAAGAGAUCUAGAGAUGAAAUUAAUCAGAAGUACUUGUGAUACCAUAGACUAGACCAUAUUGGAGAGGACAGGAUAAACAGACUGAAAAAAGAUGGGAUUGUUGGCUCUCUUAACCC